AGCUGCUCAACGCGAUUUCCCUUCGCGCUUCUCCGCACCGGGAUCCCCAGUCCCUCAGGUUCCGACAGACCCUCCUGUCAGGCCCAUUCUCCGGGCCCCCUCAGUUGCAGUGUUAAGAUCAACAGUGUUAAGAUUAAAGCCUUGUGAUGUGCUAGCCACUACGCUGAGGAUAUGCCGUGUACUAAAAUUCCUCAGGACUCCUCACAGCUGCCCUGUAAGGAAGCGGCCAUGGCCGGGUUCUAGCGAUGCGAGGCCGAGGCUCGGGGCGCUGAGUAGCCUAGCGCGUCGCCGAGGAGAGCUGGCACGUGAACCCCUUGUCGUUUGCCGUCAGAGGUGUUAUGUGGUGGCCCUCAUUCUCCAUGCAUGGAGCAGACUCUAGGAUCUGCAGUUACUGUAUGAUGAGCCCUUCUGAGUAUUUUGCUUGGCUUUGCACCUGGCGAGGUAACAUUGAGAGUAGUUAAUCUCUAGACUGGAAUCCAUCUGGAAGACCACUCAAUAACUUGUGAUUAGCUGGACCUGGUGAUGCAAGCCUGGAGUCCCAGUUACCCGGAGGCUGAGGUGGGAAUAUCGCUUGAGACCAGGAGUUUGAGGCUACAGUGAGCUGUGAUUGUACCACUGCACUCCAGCCUGGGUGACAGUGCAAGACCUCAUCUCUUAAAAAAAACAAACAACUCAAAAAACCUCAUCAUUGAGCACCUAUGAUGUGCCAGCAACUGUACUCAGUGGUGGGGACUUGACGACAAACAAACCAGGGAUGGGAUCCUUGAGCAGUCACCAUCUGACAAGUGACUGGGAAAGAUGAAUAAUGCCCUUCACCAAGAUUCUUCUCUGAUCCACAAAUUCAAUUACCAAUUUAUUUGUUCACUGCUCUUAAACUUAAAUAUUUUUUAGUAGGUAAUAAAGACAUGUUUAAACACUCUUAACUUUUAACAAUUUCUUUGUAAGUACUGUAAUAGUCUUCUUUUCCUUUAAAAAGAAAAAAUACAAAAAGAAGGAAAAGGAAAAUCUAUUCAAAAUAAAGUAUUCCAGAUAUCUGA
rnacentral:lncRNA from 1 species